UCGUUCGUUCGUUCGUUUAUUCGUACGAUAAUUUCCACGAAAUAUUUGUUUCAUUUUUUGGUGCUUAGUAUCAUACGAGAAGGUCGUUAUCGUGCCGGUUUUAAAAUCUAAAGGAUUACGCUCGGAAUCCUGGACUCUUGUUGUUGUUGGUUUUUCGUUGCUGGGAUAAAGAAGUUAAAAAAGGAAAAUAAAGAGGAAGAAAUAAGUAAAAAUAUAGUGCAGUGCGUAUAUCUACAAUUUACCUGUUUUCUCUCUUCUCCUCCCCUUGCCACGUCAUGCAUGACCGGUGAAAGUUCGCUUCAACGAGUGCAUUGAUCUACUGAAGUUAAGAGAGCACAGAGAAACGCAGGUGACGUAAAUCGAGACGGCGGCGUAUCGGCGAGAGAAAGCUUCGAGGAAGCUAAAGGAGGAGGAGGAGGAGAAGGAGGAGAAGGAGGGGGAGGAGGAGGUGGUGGCGGAAGAGGAAAAGGAAGAGGAAGACGUAAAGUGGCGUAAAAGAAGGAAGAGAAGAAGAAGGUCGACUUGGGCCGAACUUUUUCAUAGAAGAAGAAGGAGCAAUAGCAAAAGCAAAAGCAAAAGCAAAAGCAAAAGCAAAAGCAAAAGUAGAAGCAAAAGCAAAAGUAGAAGCAAAAGCAAAAGUAGAAGCGAUAGCACCGGCAAUAACGGCAGCUUGACGAAGAAAAGGUGGUGGUGGACGAGGGGGUCCAGGAGGGGGAGGGAGAGGAGGUUGAUGCGCGGGUGGAGGAGAAGAAGAAGAAUAGGAAGGAACUCUUGGUGCGUGUUAUUUGUGCAGAUAUCGUCGAAGAUAGAAAAAAUGUCAAAGGGAAAAGGGCUGGGAAUUCGAUAGGAAAAAUAUAUUUAUUAUUAUUAGUGUGAAAUCGUAAGUUGUUAUAGAAAAAGUGUUAAAUAAUAUAAUUUUAACGAGAAGGUUAUUAUAUAAUUAAAAGGAGUGAUUAAAAGGAGUGAUUCGUUGGGCCUUUUAAAAGGCUGUGAAGAUAUCAAGGAGGAUUAGAUGGUGGAGGUGCUCGAGGGCCUGGCUCUGGAGGCAACGGGGCCGUGCAGGGCACCUCGCACCUAUCCAGGGCCGGGCAAGCUAGCGGCCCAAAUAAGCGUCGCUUCUAUCGUCGACGCUGAUAUUUUAUUGAGACUCGUCUUCCCUCGUUGCUUAUUGGAGCCCAAGAAGGGCUCCUUAGUUCGGAGCGAGGCUGGCGAGCGCAAUGUGGCAAAGCGGCGGCAUUGGCGCCCAUGCGGCGAACAAUCCGUGGAUGAAGUUGAUGGGCAUCGUCCACAAGGAAAGGAGACAUCACGAUUCGGGUUCAGUUGCCGCCGCUGCAUCCGGGGUUCAGGGAUCGGCUACCACUGGGAGCAACGAUCGCACCCUCAAUCAAUCGCUGCCGAAACUCAGCAGCCAGGACGAGGAUGGGCCGAACCCUCACACCCAAUACACAGGCGUCACGCACUUCGAGCCCAUACCGCACGAUCAUGACUUUUGUGAGAGGGUCGUCAUCAACGUGAGUGGAUUACGGUUUGAGACACAACUGCGCACGCUAAACCAAUUCCCGGACACGCUGCUUGGCGAUCCGGCAAGGCGGCUUCGAUAUUUCGAUCCGCUUCGCAACGAAUAUUUCUUCGACCGGAACCGGCCUUCCUUCGAUGCGAUACUUUAUUAUUAUCAAAGCGGUGGUCGACUUCGCCGGCCAGUCAACGUUCCCCUCGAUGUGUUCUCCGAGGAAAUCAAAUUUUACGAAUUGGGCGAGCUUGCCACCAACAAGUUCAGGGAGGACGAGGGCUUCAUCAAAGAAGAGGAGAAGCCGCUGCCGUCGCACGAGUUCCAGAAGAAGGUCUGGUUGUUGUUCGAGUACCCGGAGAGCUCGCAGGGAGCCCGGGUGGUCGCCAUAAUAUCCGUGUUCGUGAUUCUUCUCUCGAUCGUAAUCUUCUGCCUAGAGACCCUGCCAGAGUUUAAGCAUUAUAAGGUCUUUAACACGACGACGAACGGCACGAAGAUCGAGGAGGACGAAGUGCCGGACAUAACGGACCCAUUCUUCCUAAUAGAGACUAUUUGUAUCAUCUGGUUCACGUUCGAGUUGUCCGUGCGCUUCCUCGCCUGCCCAAAUAAAUUUAACUUCUUCCGUGACGUAAUGAACAUCAUCGACAUCAUCGCGAUCAUUCCUUACUUCAUCACCCUCGCCACGGUAGUGGCCGAGGAAGAAGACACACUUAAUCUACCAAAGGCACCGGUUAGCCCUCAGGACAAGAGCACGAAUCAAGCAAUGUCCCUGGCGAUCUUACGAGUCAUCAGGCUCGUCAGGGUGUUCCGGAUAUUCAAGCUGUCCAGGCACAGUAAAGGCCUCCAGAUACUUGGCCGUACUCUGAAGGCCUCUAUGAGGGAACUCGGUCUUCUCAUCUUUUUCCUUUUUAUCGGUGUGGUGCUAUUUUCAUCGGCGGUAUACUUCGCGGAGGCCGGCUCCGAGAAUUCAUUCUUCAAGUCCAUUCCGGACGCGUUCUGGUGGGCCGUUGUCACGAUGACGACCGUGGGCUAUGGUGACAUGACGUAUGAUGCCCGUGGGAGUCUGGGGGAAAAUCGUUGGUUCCCUUUGUGCGAUCGCGGGUGUAUUGACGAUCGCGUUACCCGUCCCCGUCAUCGUCUCCAACUUCAACUACUUCUAUCACCGUGAGACUGACCAGGAAGAGAUGCAGUCACAGAACUUCAAUCACGUGACUAGCUGUCCGUAUCUCCCUGGCACGUUAGGUCAGCACAUGAAGAAGAGCUCGAUGUCGGAGUCGUCGUCGGAUAUAAUGGAGCUGGAAGAAGGCAUUCUACUGGCGCAACCAGAUAUGACGAAGAAGCCCAACUGCAACCCUCGCCACAA
rnacentral:misc_RNA from 1 species